UAUUAAACAGCCAUUCCCGCUGCUGUUGGGUCAGAUGGAUGUGUUGAAGCUGCAGAGACAAAGACCGAAGCCAUGGCAUCGUUCAAGAAGUCCUUCGAGGGCCUGAAAGGCACAAGCCAAGCGGCUGCUAAAGGAGUCACAGACACUGCAGUGCAGGCAGCUCAGGACGCUGUGCAGCAGGUGGCAGACUCCUCCAAAGAAACAGCCACCAUAGCUGCUCAAGAAGCCAGCAGGCAGACUCAGGCAGUCAUAGGAAAAGCUGCGGACAAGGCCACGGACACCAUCAAGGAGUUUGGACAGAAAAUGGAGACCAAAUGAUGCCUAAAGAAUGAACUAUUGUAGCUGAAACGCUCGAGCCAGCUUGCUUUAAACAAGAAAUAAUGUUGGGAUGGAAGUAUGUUGGCAUCAGAAAACCUGAAACAGAGAUACAUAUACAGUAUAUUUCUCCACACAGCUAACAUUCCAAAAGAAAUCUUUAUAAAUUGUCUCUUUUUUUUAACUAAUCUUUCUUUUGUGUUUCAUGCUUCAUUAUAGAUUUAAUUGCAUGUGAUUGUUAUUAUGGGAAAUAAACAAAUACCAACUUCUUUCUCAGGUUCAUAAAAUGUGAUAUGCUGCCACAUACAGUUGAGAUAACAGUGUUAGUAGAUCUGGAAGCGCCGUAUCUGUGAAGCAUUCUGUUUUUACACUGCGGAGAUCUCUCAUCAAUGAAUCACCACGGUCAUUAUUACCAACACAAUGCCGAGAAGAUGGCCUUUGGCAGGCUGAUAGCUCCUGACGAGAGUGUGAUCAGAGCCGUCUACCUUGGUCCUCGGCCGCACACCUCCCCUCCAUCACACUACGCGGUUGCUAGGCAACAGAUCUCAGUGGCGGCCUGGGAUUGGUGGAGGGCGCUGAAUUAAUGGUGAGAAUACUUCUGUCAGCACACAGUGUUCUGGCCAAGCUACAGCCCACUGUGAAACCAAGACGGGGAAGUUUUUGUUUUUUUUAUUAAAUGAAAGAAAUACAAACAUCCUCUGUCCCACAUAAUUACUCGAGCAGAGCAGAUUUAAAGAAGGUCUGGAGAAAUGCUUGUCACAAAGCAGAGAGGUUGGAGAGAGGAAUGAGAGACUGCGUUUUACAAGUAUUUGUUUGUGUGGGAGGCACAGCUCUGCUUCCUCCAGGCUCCUUCAGCUGAAAUUCCCUGUUGUCUUUCAUGUACAGCUGCAGCAUAAAGCUCACUGUUACUAAUAUUUGUUUUAUUUCCUCCUCAAGAGCUCAAUUUGCAUACAUUUUUAGGUCUUGUAAUGGUUCUUUGAUCGUCACCCCUCACGAAACAAAGCAGGACCUAACUACAGCUCACUUUUUACUAUCAUUGCUCAUUGAUUUCAUUAAACUAAGAGGGGUCUCAUAAAUGUGGCCUUCACAGACAGUCAUCCAUUAUUAAGAAGAGAAAUCCCCCUUCUGCAUGCUUCACCCUACCUGCAGAAGCCCUCACACUGGUCAUCUGUAGUGACGUGGAAGCUUUUAUCACAAAUUUCUAAAAAAAAAAAAUCUCUCCUGCAAAGUCAAUUUGCAGGUUUUAUCUUUCUGCACAUAGUUCCCAUCGUGUUGCUAUGAGAACCUGAAGCUAAUUACUAUGAUUUACCGAUGAUUAGAGAGCUGAGCAGAGAUUUUGUCAUUACAUUACCACUCACUGCCAGAACCCGACCGUGGUUUCCAGGGAAACUGGAAAUGUGAAGCUUUUCAGUAGACACAGCCACAGCCUAAAGAGCGAGGAUUGCCUAAGAUAGAUUCUUCUAGAGACAAACCUGUAGCCACUGCAAUCAGUAUCAAUCAACAGGGGAGAUGUACGGACAGAAGCUGGUCUCAGUAAAUGGUGAGAUUUGUGAUGUUUGACCCAAAACUGAAGGAGAGUUGUGGAGAAGCUUCAGUCUGACUUAGACUGCUGAGGUAAUUCUACCACUUUAAUGCGGAGAAAGAAUGGGGAGUCUUAAAGACGAGAUGAAGGGUCUCAGGGAGGACCACCAGCCUUGCGAGAAGACGGAUGAUGGAGGUUCAGAAAGCAGCACUGCACCUGAAGGAAUGCAGCUAAGCACAAGUCAAGAGUCAACAACUCAAGAGGACUGCCAGCCAAAACUACACGUGAUCGCCACCUCUGUUGGGGAGAAAGAUCAAGAUCAAAUAUCCAAAGAUGCAGCGCUCUCAGGGGGGGAUUGUGACCACACUGACCAAUCAGACUCUGAACAAGUUAAAGACUCUACACAGACUGAUGACAUGCCUCUGAUACACAAGCCAGAAGCUGAUACAACAGCAACACACGCCGACACGACAAUCUCUAUCAAGCUGCUGAGCGAUGGAGAUGGAGAAAUUCAGGAGGAAAACAAUGAGGAUGAAACCAUAAAUCAUGACAGACAGAAAGAUGCAGACAUUGAGAAUGUCUUGGUUCCUGUGCCAUCGACUCCAGAUCCCAUUGACCCACGUUCCCCAGCCCCUUUCGGGCAGCACCACAUGCGCACACAGGUGAGCCUGGAGGUGGUCCAGUGCCACUCAGCAGCCACCAGCCCCAUGACCCCUCCAGAGGGCGGCCAUUCCUUCUUCUUCCCAAAUUCUUUUGGGAAAUCUGGAUCCGUGGGUAGUGACACUAAAGACGCCGAGCUACAGGUGGGUCGGCAAGUGGAGUUCUGCUCUGUUGCCACGUCACCCAUGACCCCGAAGACGCCAUCGACCACGGCUUUCCCAGAGCUUAUCGGAAGAGAGACGGAGACAGUGAGAAAGAGUGAGGAGCAAAGGGAGAGCUGCCAACAAGAGAGUUUCCCUGCAACAAAAAGUCCAGCAGAAGCUGAGUCAGAAAUAAGUGGAGUUUCAAUAUUUACCACAUCAAAGGAGCUGAGUGAAGGCUUCAACUCAAAUGUGUCUCCAGUGACCACCACCAAGUGCCUGGCUGCUGGGUUAGGUUCACAAGCAACUCUGGAGGACAGUAAUCAGCACUGUAAGCAGCAGAGGAUGGGAAGUAUGGAUCAAGACAUUACAAUCUUGGUGACCCACCACGGCAACAAUGGGGAGGAAGAUGAAGAUAAGGUUGAGUCAAAUUUUUGUUCCAUUGAGCCUGAGAUGGUCAAAAUAGAUGAAAAUGAGGAAGCCGGAGAGAACGGCAGUGAUGUAAAGAGGGAAGAUGGAAAGGAACAGAUCUCUGCAGAAAUCAAUCAUGAACAAGACACUUCAAACACAAACCAUCCAGAAAACCAGGCCGAGAAACCAAAAACAUGCGUGGAACGUGAAACAUCGCAGGUUAAAGAAAAGAACGAUGCAAGUGAAGAGUCGAGAGAUGUUUCCGUGACAAAACCUCUCAUCCCCGAAUCACCGGCUCCUUUUGGCUGCCACAAUAUUCGCACUCAGGUGAGCCUGGAGGUAGUGCAGUGUCAGUCUGCAGCUACCAGCCCCAUGACCCCUCCUGAGGGGGACCAAGCUUUCUGCUUCCCCAGCUCCUUCGGUAAAUGUGCAACAGUGGGCACAGAGACCAAAGAUGCUGAGCUGCAGGUGGGCCAACAAGUGGAGUUUCGCUCGGUUGCAACGGCGCCCAUGACACCGAGAACCCCCAUCGCCACGACUUUUCCCGAGGUCAGGAAAGAGACCAGCAUAGAGGAGAAGAUACUGGAGGAGGAGGAGGACGUAAAGGAGCAGGGGGUGGAGGACAAAGAGGAGGAGAAAGUCACUGAGGAGGAAAACGAGAAAGCGGCCGAAGAGGACAAAAAGGAGACAAUGAACUGUAAGGAGAAAGGUGAGGAGAAAUGCGAGGAGCCGGUGCAGGAGGUGAGCUGGGAUGAGAAAGGGAUGACGUGGGAGGUGUACGGAGCUGUGGUGGAGGUGGCUGUGCUGGGCUCGGCCAUCCAGAAACACCUGGAGAAACAGGUGAAAAAGCAAAAGAGGCAGUCCACCCUGCCUCCUCCUCCUCCACUCAACCCCUCGGCCAUGCCCCUCGAGUCAGCCCAGGGUGGAGGUUCGGGUUCAGGGUCAGGGAAGGGCCGGGCCGGGAAGAGAGGAGGGCAGGACGGGAAAGUGAGCCGACGCAGGAGAAACCCUUUCCGUCUGCUGAUGGAGAACAUGCAGCAGCCACACUGUUGCUCCAGAGCUCACACUACCGAGUGAUGGGAGAGAUCAACAGCGGGUUGGAGGACAAAUUCUGUGCUGGAAAAAAAAAAUCACAUGGCAUCUGAAAUAUGCGGCUGUGAUUCAGUGAAUCCAGUGGUUCACUUCAGCGUGAUAUUGUCUUGACAGUGUGAGAGACAAAUCACAAGACAAACAAGCACAAAAGCAUUUCCUAGACAAUUUGUACCAAGAAGCAUUAAUCGCUGAGCCAUACAAUAGUAUUUUCAUUGGGUUUUUUUUCUUGAUCUUUCUUUAUCACUUAUUUCCUGUGACGUUUCUCUGCACAGACUGACAGAACAAUGGACUGUUUAAGAAAAUAAGAGCGAUACGUCAGUGUGUUAGCUCAGCUCUUCUCCUUUAAUGUUUUUCACUCAGACCAUUCAGUUGUUCAGUGAGUCAUUUCAGCGGUUGGUAGAUGUUUUUUUUUUUUUUAAUACACCUCGGAUAAAAUGAAGCCAUGGCAACCAGCUUUCCUUCUCCUGGCUGCUGACAAGCUUAACGAAGCUUUGAAAGAGUGUGACGAUAGUAGAGUGACAAUGUUUGAGAGUGAUUUUUGACCUUGUAGUCUGUCAGUACAAUGCGGAGGUAAUUUUAAUCUAAAUGUUACCUUGAUCUGUGUGUAAGAGAAGUCUCUACCGUUAAUGCAGGCUUUUGUAUGUUCUGCUUUUAAAUUUGUUAGUGUUUUGACUCAUUUGUAAUGUGAAAAGUAUCAAAACUGUACCGAUGGCGCGCACAAUCAUCUUUUGAGAAAAGUAACGACGCCUGAUAGCAGGGUAUUUUCAGUCCUUACCACUUUGUGUAUUUUAAUGCCAUGAUUAGUGAUUCAGUUGUACAACUUUGUGAUGAAAAUUUAUUUAAAUGUGCUUUAAUUCUGAGGUUGUUUGCAGUGUCAGUGAUGUUGGUGUUCAUACAUUAACCUCAUAAAAGUGGGAUCAAAUCCACAUUUGAAGGAAAUUGUUUUAUUCACAGAUUGCACUUGUGAUACAUUCAUUUAAUUGUCAUUUAACAGUAAAAUAGUCCUUUUAAUCUGCUGCUUGUAGGAAGUCACAAAGUCACUUUGCAUGAGGUUUUAUUGCUGCAACAAGUGUGUCAAACUCCAAGCAAAUAUUGACAAAUCAGACAUGCAUAAGAUUUUGGCUAACAGGUGGUCAUAAAUAAGGAUCUCAUUCAUAUACUGACAUUAUGCAAUAUUUGUGUCUUUUUCUCUUAAUUUGAAUUUCUUUCUAGCAGCAUCCUCUGCAACAAAAAUUACCUUUGUAUGUCAACAUAACUUACAAUGCAGUUUAUUUCAAAGCAAACCAAACACUUUUUAAACCAUUGCUUAAUAUAUUAACAAAAAUAAAGUGAUUCACAUGUGCAACAAACA